CCCUUAGAUGUCCGGGGCCGUACGCGCGCUACACUGAAGGAAUCAGCGUGGCUUUCUCCCUGACCCGAAAGGGUUGGGAAACCCGUUGAAUCUCCUUCGUGAUAGGGAUUGGGGCUUGAAAUUGUUCCCCAUGAACGAGGAAUUCCCAGUAAGCGCGAGUCAUAAGCUCGCGUUGAUUACGUCCCUGCCCUUUGUACACACCGCCCGUCGCUACUACCGAUUGAACGGUUUAGUGAGGGCCUCGGAUUGGUCUCGGCCCGCUCUUUACCGGGCGGCGCCGUUGGUCGAGAAGACGCUCGAACUUGAUCGUUUAGAGGAAGUAAAAGUCGUAACA
rnacentral:rRNA from 1 species